UACGUAGGUCCCGAGCGUCGUCCGGAUUUAUUGGGCGUAAAGCGAGCGCAGGUGGUUUAUUAAGUCUGGUGUAAAAGGCAGUGGCUCAACCAUUGUAUGCAUUGGAAACUGGUAGACUUGAGUGCAGGAGAGGAGAGUGGAAUUCCAUGUGUAGCGGUGAAAUGCGUAGAUAUAUGGAGGAACACCGGUGGCGAAAGCGGCUCUCUGGCCUGUAACUGACACUGAGGCUCGAAAGCGUGGGGAGCAAACAGG
rnacentral:rRNA from 2 species